rnacentral:rRNA from 1 species
AUUGAACGCUGGCGGCAGGCUUAACACAUGCAAGUCGAGCGGAGUGAUGGUGCUUGCACUAUCACUUAGCGGCGGACGGGUGAGUAAUGCUUAGGAAUCUGCCAUUUAGUGGGGGACAACAUUCCGAAAGGAAUGCUAAUACCGCAUACGUCCUACGGGAGAAAGCAGGGGAUCUUCGGACCUUGCGCUAAAUGAUGAGCCUAAGUCGGAUUAGCUAGUUGGUGGGGUAAAGGCCUACCAAGGCGACGAUCUGUAGCGGGUCUGAGAGGGUGAUCCGCCACACUGGGACUGAGACACGGCCCAGACUCCUACGGGAGGCAGCAGUGGGGAAUAUUGGACAAUGGGCGGAAGCCUGAUCCAGCCAUGCCGCGUGUGUGAAGAAGGCCUUUUGGUUGUAAAGCACUUUAAGCGAGGAGGAGGCUCUCCUAGUUAAUACCUAGGAAGAGUGGACGUUACUCGCAGAAUAAGCACCGGCUAACUCUGUGCCAGCCGCCGCGGUAACAC